rnacentral:misc_RNA from 1 species
GUCAAGUAUGGGAGUCGCUGCAGCCUGGAAGCAUUGACCUAUUUACAAAUGGAUGUUCUAAAAGCUUAGCAGCAGUGGGGCGAUCCUUUGGGGUAACUUGUAGGCAUUGCUGGAUAAAGUCCCGCGAAUCAUCUGACAAAGAAUUAGGAAGAGAAGGUGGGUGACCUUUUCCAAUCUCAAAAAUUACUUGCAUUGGCUCCAAAUCAGAGUAUGG